ACCUUUCUCCGGCUCCGCCCCCGGCAAGUUUAGUUCCUUCUAUCCAGGACUCGCCCACGGUCUAUUCGUGGGUCUCUCCAGAACACAACACACCCAGACCAGUCCGAAGCCUUGUCAGUUCUGUCCCCGUGGUCCCUGCGCUGCGGUUCCGCUUGUGUGUAGAUCUGGCCUAGGGGCCCCCAGAGGCUGGAUGGGUACGCUUCCGGAGCUGGGUCCCUGACUGCUGGUUCUGCUACGCUCCGGCCAGUCCUUGGCUGGUCCCCAGAGGCUCGAAGGCCAAGAUCGCUUACCCUGUCUGGAAACGUUUGCACCGGCCCCUGGAGAGGCCUGUUUCUGCAUUGGAACUGCCCACCCGAGCCUGCAGAGGUAGCAUGGGAGAAGGUGUGACAAAUUGUGACAGAAAGGGAACAGACAGAAGGUUCUCAGCUAGCAGCUUCAACCUGUGCCCUAAUCCUACACACUGGCUCCUUAGACAGUGGCUGAGACAUUCCUGAAACCUCUCCAGUGCCCUGAGGACCUUUAAACCUUGGACUAGGAUGCCUGCGACCCAGGCUAGCCUAUAGUACUAAAGUGCUAAGUUGAAGUGUUCAGAGUAUACGGAGAUCUAAAUAAUAAAGGUAUCCACGAUCUGCA